UACGUAGGGGGCAAGCGUUGUCCGGAUUUAUUGGGCGUAAAGAGCGUGUAGGCGGCCAUGCAGGUCCGUUGUGAAAACUCGAGGCUCAACCUCGAGACGCCGAUGGAAACCGCAUGGCUAGAGUCCGGAAGAGGAGAGUGGAAUUCCUGGUGUAGCGGUGAAAUGCGCAGAGAUCGGGAGGAACACCCGUAGCGAAGGCGGCACUCUGGGCCGGUACUGACGCUGAGGAGCGAAAGCAUGGGGAGCGAACAGG
rnacentral:rRNA from 1 species